ACGAGUGUGCCGAAAUGGUAGCCGGGUGAAUCUUAGGAAUUCAUGAUUUUUGGAUCGUAAGAGUUCAAGUCUCUUUGCUCGUA